rnacentral:rRNA from 1 species
UACGUAGGUGGCAAGCGUUAUCCGGAAUUAUUGGGCGUAAAGGGUACGUAGGCGGCUAGAAAAGUUAGAAGUCAAAGGCUAUAGCUCAAAUAUAGUAAGCUUCUAAAACUAUUUAGCUUGAGAAAUGGAAGGGAAAGUGGAAUUCCUAGUGUAGCGGUGGAAUGCGCAGAUAUUAGGAAGAAUACCGGUGGCGAAGGCGACUUUCUGGCCAUUAUCUGACGCUGAGGUACGAAAGCGUGGGUAGCAAACAGGAUUAGAUACCCCCGUAGUCC